rnacentral:rRNA from 1 species
AAAUCGUACCCCAAACCGACACAGGUGGUCAGGUAGAGAAUACCAAGGCGCUUGAGAGAACUCGGGUGAAGGAACUAGGCAAAAUGGUGCCGUAACUUCGGGAGAAGGCACGCUGGUGUGUAGGUGAAGCCCCUGCGGGUGGAGCUGAGACCAGUCGAAGAUACCAGCUGGCUGCAACUGUUUAUUAAAAACACAGCACUGUGCAAACACGAAAGUGGACGUAUACGGUGUGACGCCUGCCCGGUGCCGGAAGGUUAAUUGAUGGGGUUAUCCGUAAGGAGAAGCUCUUGAUCGAAGCCCCGGUAAACGGCGGCCGUAACUAUAACGGUCCUAAGGUAGCGAAAUUCCUUGUCGGGUAAGUUCCGACCUGCACGAAUGGCGUAAUGAUGGCCAGGCUGUCUCCACCCGAGACUCAGUGAAAUUGAACUCGCUGUGAAGAUGCAGUGUACCCGCGGCAAGACGGAAAGACCCCGUGAACCUUUACUAUAGCUUGACACUGAACAUUGAGCCUUGAUGUGUAGGAUAGGUGGGAGGCUUUGAAGCGUGGACGCCAGUCUGCGUGGAGCCAACCUUGAAAUACCACCCUUUAAUGUUUGAUGUUCUAACGUUGGCCCCUUACCGGGGUUGCGGACAGUGUCUGGUGGGUAGUUUGACUGGGGCGGUCUCCUCCCAAAGCGUAACGGAGGAGCACGAAGGUUAGCUAAUCCUGGUCGGACAUCAGGAGGUUAGUGCAAUGGCAUAAGCUAGCUUGACUGCGAGCGUGACGGCGCGAGCAGGUGCGAAAGCAGGUCAUAGUGAUCCGGUGGUUCUGAAUGGAAGGGCCAUCGCUCAACGGAUAAAAGGUACUCCGGGGAUAACAGGCUGAUACCGCCCAAGAGUUCAUAUCGACGGCGGUGUUUGGCACCUCGAUGUCGGCUCAUCACAUCCUGGGGCUGAAGUAGGUCCCAAGGGUAUGGCUGUUCGCCAUUUAAAGUGGUACGCGAGCUGGGUUUAGAACGUCGUGAGACAGUUCGGUCCCUAUCUGCCGUGGGCGCUGGAGAAUUGAGGGGGGCUGCUCCUAGUACGAGAGGACCGGAGUGGACGCAUCACUGGUGUUCGGGUUGUCAUGCCAAUGGCACUGCCCGGUAGCUAAAUGCGGAAGAGAUAAGUGCUGAAAGCAUCUAAGCACGAAACUUGCCCCGAGAUGAGUUCUCCCUGAGACUUUAAGUCUCCUGAAGGAACGUUGAAGACGACGACGUUGAUAGGCCGGGUGUGUAAGCGCAGCGAUGCGUUGAGCUAACCGGUACUAAUGAACCGUGAGGCUUAACCUU